CUGGUCUUGACAUCCACAGAACUUUCCAGAGAUGGAUUGGUGCCUUCGGGAACUGUGAGACAGGUGCUGCAUGGCUGUCGUCAGCUCGUGUUGUGAAAUGUUGGGUUAAGUCCCGCAACGAGCGCAACCCUUAUCCUUUGUUGCCAGCGGUCCGGCCGGGAACUCAAAGGAGACUGCCAGUGAUAAACUGGAGGAAGGUGGGGAUGACGUCAAGUCAUCAUGGCCCUUACGACAGGGCUACACACGUGCUACAAUGGCGCAUACAAAGAGAAGCGACCUCGCGAGAGCAAGCGGACCUCAUAAAGUGCGUCGUAGUCCGGAUUGGAGUCUGCAACUCGACUCCAUGAAGUCGGAAUCGCUAGUAAUCGUAGAUCAGAAUGCUACGGUGAGUACGUUCCC
rnacentral:rRNA from 1 species